rnacentral:rRNA from 1 species
UGAGGAAUUUUCCGCAAUGGGCGAAAGCCUGACGGAGCAAUACCGCGUGAAGGAUGAAGGCUUGUGAGUCGUAAACUUCUUUUCUUAGUGAAGAAGCAAGACGGUAACUAAGGAAUAAGCAUCGGCUAACUCCGUGCCAGCAGCCGCGGUAAUACGGAGGAUGCGAGCGUUAUUCGGAAUUAUUGGGCGUAAAGCGUCUGUAGGUUGCUUUUUAAGUCUAUUGUUAAAUAUUAAGGCUUAACCUUAAAAGGGCAGUAUGAAACUAAAGAGCUUGAGUUUAGUAGAGGUAGAGGGAAUUCUCGGUGUAGUGGUGAAAUGCGUAGAGAUCGAGAAGAACACCAGUAGCGAAAGCGCUCUACUGGGCUAAAACUGACACUGAGAGACGAAAGCUAGGGGAGCAAAUAGGAUUAGAUACCCCCGUAGUCC